CCUACGGGUGACAGCAGUGAGGAAUAUUGGUCAAUGGACGCAAGUCUGAACCAGCCAUGCCGCGUGCAGGAAGACGGCUCUAUGAGUUGUAAACUGCUUUUGUACGAGGGUAAACGCAGAUACGCGUAUCUGUCUGAAAGUAUCGUACGAUUAAGGAUCGGCUAACUCCGUGCCAGCAGCCGCGGUAAUACGGAGGAUUCAAGCGUUAUCCGGAUUUAUUGGGUUUAAAGGGUGCGUAGGCGGUCGGAUAAGUUAGAGGUGAAAGCCCGAGGCUCAACUUCGGAAUUGCCUCUGAUACUGUUCGGCUAGAGAGUAGUUGCGGUAGGCGGAAUGUAUGGUGUAGCGGUGAAAUGCUUAGAGAUCAGACAGAACACCGAUUGCGAAGGCAGCUUACCAAGCUACUUCUGACGUUGAGGCACGAAAGCGUGGGGAGCAAACAGGAUUAGAUACCCGAGUAGUC
rnacentral:rRNA from 1 species